GACGAACGCUGGCGGCGUGCUUAACACAUGCAAGUCGAACGGAAAGGCCCUGCUUUUUUGGGGUGCGCUGGUGACGACGGGGUGAGUAACACGUGAGUAACCUGUCCUUGACUGUGGGAUAACUUCAGAAAACUUGUGCUAAUACCGGAUAGGAGCUCCUGCUGCAUGGUGGGGGUUGGAAAGUUUCGCCGGUUGGUGAUGGACUCGCCGCUCAUCAGCUUGGUGGUGGGGUAGUGGCUUACCAAGGCUUUGACGGGUAGCCGGCCUGAGAGGGUGACCUGCCACACUACAAUGGGGAUGAGGCCCAGCCUACACUGGGACGCAGCGGAGCAGAAGAGAGCAUUAUGGGAUGAACGAUGAUGUAACAAAGCCGUGUGGGGGAAGACAGGAAUCGGGUAGUAUAGUGAAAUUGUCUGAGAGGAGGCGUGAGUGACGGUAAUGGGUAAAGAAGCACCGGCUAACUUCGUG
rnacentral:rRNA from 1 species